UAUAAAACUGUACUACUGUGGAAACUCUCCCUUUUCCUGACGACCCCAUACGGAUCAGAUAGAAAGAGCCGUGCUGCACGCUUUGCAUAAUAUUUUUACACUUGAAUAAACCUGCCUUAUUAUAAAAUUAUCCACCUCGUCCUAUGUCUCCACUUGGUCUCCUGUCUCAAGUAAAACGAAUUAUCAACACAUUACAAGUCAGAAUGUUGUUCUAACUUUUUCCGCUGAUUUUUUCCCUAUGUCUGAAGUACUCUGAUAUAAAGAUCCACAGGGAAAUGCUAUCAACCCGACCUUCAGUACACUGGUCUGUAUAUCGGUUUGUAUCCGGUUUUAUUUUCAAUACUGUUGCAAUUCGCACAUGACAAACCGAACCGCAGACACUUCCAGCUGAUUAUGAGGAAACAUGCUUCGGUCAACUACGUUCAGUUACAUUCGGCUAUUGUUUACAUAUUGUGCAUCACGUGCAAUGAGUCUAGAGAUUGAAAACACAAGGGACAUACCGGCGCUGAAAAAAAGUUGAAUAAACAACACUCGCCUGUGAAUACCCUAUAUCCUGUUCUUACCGCCAAAAGGAUCAACAGCAUGUACAACUGGUAAAAGAAUACUUCAAAAUGAGAAGAUCCUGUCAUGGAAAAGACAACUGGGUGGACUUAAAGUGGAAAGGAUGGGAAAUAACUCACACCAUGCAACAGGACACCUUCAGCUGCGGGGUCUUUGUAAUGCAGAUGGCCAAGGAAGUUGCACAAAACUUCCCCAACAUCCCCUCCCAAAUUGAUAUAGAACCUUCACAAAAAACACAUGGAGCAACUGCGAAAAGAAAUGGCUGAGGAUAUACUAAAAAUAUCUGAGUUCAACAAAGCCAACAACUGCUUCAGGUGUGCCACUGAUAAAGAACCUGGAUGUGGCCCAAAGACUGACUGGAUUGAAUGUUUUGCAUGCCAACGGUGGUUCCAUGUGCUGUGCCUAGGAAUGAAGACAAAAGAGUUCAGAGUGAAGAACACAAAACUGGAAGUGCUGUCUUUGUUGUUGAAAAUGUAUGAUAUACCCUAUCCACACUGAAGAGGCUCUGAAAUGUACACCAACCAGGGAUAAAGAGAAAGUUAACACUGUGAAAUGUUUUGUACUUAUUUGAAGUAAAGUGUAUGUUGACAUGUUGGAAAAGAUUAAAGGUCUACAAUUUAUGUUUAAUUUUUCAAUAUUCAAUUUUCAUUCAUUGAUUUUCUGGCCACCAUUACUGUGGUUACAUGUUCAGUAUAUGUAUUGACCAACAAACCCACUGCAGCCUACCUCACUAGCUCACUCUCCAUCCCUGCUUUGGACAAUUAAUAACAUGACUC